rnacentral:rRNA from 1 species
AAACAUGUCUUUUUGAGUUAAUUUUAAAGUCUAACCUGCCCACUGAAAAUAUUUAAAUGGCCGCAGUAUUUUAACUGUGCAAAGGUAGCAUAAUCAAUAGUCUUUUAAUUGAAGGCUGGAAUGAAUGGUUGGACGAAGUAUAAUCUGUUUCAUAUAAAUUUAUAAUAGAAUUUUAUAUUUUAGUUAAAAAGCUAAAAUUUUAUUAAAAGACGAGAAGACCCUAUAAAUCUUUAUAUUUGAUAGUAAUUAGGUUUUAUAGAUAUAUUUUAUUUUUUUAUUAUUAAAUAUUUUGUUGGGGUGAUAUUAAAAUUUAAUUAACUUUUAAUUUUUUUUUAUCAUUAAUUUAUGAUUUAUUGAUCCAUUAAUAGUGAUUAUAAGAUUAAGUUACUUUAGGGAUAACAGCGUAAUUUUUUUGGGGAGUUCAUAUCUAUAAAAAAGUUUGCGACCUCGAUGUUGGAUUAAGAGAUAUAUUUUGGUGUAGCUGCUUAAAUAUUAAGUCUGUUCGACUUUUAAAUUCUUACAUGAUC